CUUUCCAGUCCACAGAUUUACAACUUGAGGUGGCCUGCACCAGACCCACGGGGCAAUAACAGUCUUCCAUUGAAUUCUUUAGCAGUUUCUACAAUUGCAUAAGAUCCUAGCUGGCUCAAGAGUCUUCUUGCCUCUGCUGCAGCAAUUACUUGGCUUGGUGUGUAGAUGUCUGAAUGCCAUGAAGUUUAGAGAGGAAAAGAUGACAAGAGCAAAGUAAACAAACAAGAAAGGCCGUGGAUCUUGGUUGAUGCCAACAGAUGCCGUGUCGUGAAGAUGCUCUGAAGGAAAGACGUUGACGGGGUCUCCUCACUCUCCUGGGCCCUUCUGACUAGUGACUGUCUUCUCACUGCUGCUGCUACCAGUGCCCAGUUUGUUGCCUGAAGCCAAAAGCUGAAAGCUCACAUAAUCUUUUGAAGAGUACUACAUAAGUAAAUUGAGUUCUCAUAAUGAAGAAUAGCUGAGUAAACACUGCCACACCAUGUGGCUACAUGCAUUUCCUAAGAUUAAAAACAUUUGCAGUUACAGAAACAGACAUGGGAUAGGAAACACAGGUCUAUUUUAUUUUGUGGGUUUUGAAAUUAAACCAAUUGUUUACAGUAAAGGCGCUGAAGUUCUGCAGAUUAAAAGAAUGAAUUAAAUGUAUUUAUUCAACAAAUAUUUAUUGAUCAUCCACUACAUGCCAGACACUGAGCCAGGUGCCAAAGACAAGCAUGGGUCAUAGAGGUUUCAUGGUGCUUCCGGGGAAAUUUAUUAAAUGGAGACAGAGCAGUGAUUAUGCUUUUCUUUAUUUCAUAAAUGUGAAUAAGAGUAUAUAGUUGUUUCUCAGCGAAAUGUUAAUUUUCUUUAUUUUAGGGCUUCAGCUGCUUCUGUAUAAGAGAAACUUUAUUUUCAGCCCCAGAAGUUCAUUCCAAUGUGUUUUCAUGAAUUUACAGCUAUGUCACAGAUAUUGCAACAUAUUGUUGUGCUUCAAAUCCUCCAAGAGGGGCCACUUUUGAUGUGCUGAGACAUUUAAAGUUGGAGGGCUGUUUAGGAAAUUGAUGCAAAGACAUGUGCAUUAUCAUAUGUGGAGAGAGAAAAAAAUGGCAUCUUCAGAGAGGUGCACAUAUGCCAGGUUAGCCGUGUCCCACCCCAUGGGAUGAAGAGCUUGAGGAACCAAGGGAAAUGCUUAUCUGGAGCCCACAUCUGCUUUCAGACCAUAUUCUGAGGACCCAGAACUUCAGAUUCCCUGGCCCAGAGUCUCUGAGUCCAUGAUCAGAGCCUGUGAGGGCUUCUCUUGUAGGUCUGCCAUUUUGAAUGUUGACUGCUAUCACUAUGUGCUGGUGUGCACCCAAGCAUAGAAGACCCCAUCCAAGUAGGAUGCAGAUGGGAAAAGGGAAGGUGGCUGGACCACCACUGAUGUUAGGAUGUCACAUUGUGCUUAGACAUUCUCAGUUUUCUGAAAAAUUAUGAGGUUCAUGACCCCCCUGAGAAGCCCACCUUGGAAAUGAAGAUGUCUAUUGUGAGAGGAAAUGGUCUCAUAUCUCAGGAUUCUACGUGUUUUAAGAGUUGGUCCUACCUUUCUUCUCGAUCCACUUGAUCACAAAGCAACCUUUCUAGAACAUCGUUUUCGCCAUCACAAGACAGUUGGUUCCAGAUGAAAAUACUCAAACAAUAGGAGAACUAAAAACAACAAGAAAAAAAAAACCUCAAAAUAUAUUUAAUCAAAAGUGAGAGGAAAAAGAAACCCAAGAAAAUUCCAGAUUUCUUUUAAGUGUUGCCAAAGGCAGAGCUGAACAGGAAGCCCAUGUUGUUCUUCACAGUUAACAAGAUCAACCUUGCUGGGAAAUGAACAAGCGACCAGGUGAGCUCAAGAGUCCUUUCCUU
rnacentral:lncRNA from 1 species